rnacentral:lncRNA from 13 species
CCAUCUUUGCUGCUCCCCUUAAACUCUGCCCACAUCCUUGCAAGUAGUCCCUUUACCAAACUAUUCUCAGUUCCUCAACUUGGUGUGUGUACCAUUGUCUCUUCCCAGGACCAUGACUCACAAAAAUAAUAAAUGAGGUCCCAGCUCUCAUGAAGCGCAGCUUGCACUUGCAUAAGCAGCAGAAAGACUGGAGCAGAUAUCUAUGUUCUGGAAGAGUCACUGGAUGACCGUGAGGUGUAAGACUGUGAUGUGGUGAGGGCAAGGGCUGUUGCUGUCAUCCUCAAGACAGAUGCCGGUGGCCUACAUCAGGGAGGAGCCUUGGAGGACAAGGAGGGAGAACCACUUGGCAAGCCAGAUUGACAAACCUGACCUCAGACAGAAAGAGAUGAAAUAAAUGCCCUGGGCUGAGGCCAUUGUGCUUGGUGGAAUGACAUCAAGAGUAGGAGGCAGACGUCUAUGUGCUCCCAUCUCAGCACUGCCAUUUGCAAGCUGCUCUGCUUUAGGGUCAAGCUCAGUACCUGGAACGCAGUGGAUGCUUGAAUGAACAAACAGAUGAAUGACUAAAAUGCAGAACAAACGCCUAAAUAAAUGGAGGUAAGUGGGCUGGCUGGUCCA